GCUGAAGAACGCAGCGAAAUGCGAUAAGUAGUGUGAAUUGCAGAAUUCAGUGAAUCAUCGAAUCUUUGAACGCACAUUGCGCCCCUUGGUAUUCCAUGGGGCAUGCCUGUUCGAGCGUCAUUUGUACCUUCAAGCUUUGCUUGGUGUUGGGUGUUUGUCUCGCCUUUGCGUGUAGACUCGCCUUAAAAUAAUUGGCAGCCGGCGUAUUGAUUUCGGAGCGCAGUACAUCUCGCGCUUUGCACUCAUAACGACAGCGUCCAAAAGUACAUUUUACACUCUUGACCUCGGAUCAGGUAGGGAUACCCGCUGAACUUAAGCAUAUCAAUAAGCAGAGGA
rnacentral:misc_RNA from 1 species